CAAGUAAUACAAAAUGUAACUCACCAUCAAACCACUUGAAAACCUAGAAGCAUUUCCUGUGGACAAUGGAUGGACCAGAUUCGUCAUACUCGCCCUUGGAAAUCCACAUCUGAUGCAACAGGUAA